rnacentral:tRNA from 1 species
UAGUUCAGUUGGUUAGAAUACCUGCCUGUCACGCAGGGGGUCGCGGGUUCGAGUCCCGUA